rnacentral:rRNA from 1 species
UACGAAGGGGGCUAGCGUUGCUCGGAAUUACUGGGCGUAAAGGGCGCGUAGGCGGCCGAUCAAGUCAGAGGUGAAAGCCCAAGGCUCAACCUUGGAAUUGCCUUUGAUACUGUUCGGCUAGAGACCGGAAGAGGUUAGUGGAACUGCGAGUGUAGAGGUGAAAUUCGUAGAUAUUCGCAAGAACACCAGUGGCGAAGGCGGCUAACUGGUCCGGUUCUGACGCUGAGGCGCGAAAGCGUGGGGAGCAAACAGG